GAGAGAGAGAUACGGCUGUCAUCGAACACUGUGAGGCUGUCUUCUUUUCCAUCUUAUAUGUAGAGAGAAAGAUAGCAUAUCAGUCCGUGAGGGAGAGAGAAAGACACAGAAAGAGGGGCCUCGCAUCGAACACCGGGAGGUCAUCCUCCUUUUCUUCGUGUAUGAAGAGAAAGAAUAUGGGCAUGUGAGAGAGAGAGGCCUCGCACUGAACACUUGGAUUUAUUCUUUCCUUUUGUUCUUCCCGUAUAUAUAUAUAGAGAAGCCUCGCACUAAACACUUGGAGUUUGUCUUCUUCUUUUUCUUCUUCUCAUAUGUAGAGAGAGAGAGAGAGCGCAUAUGAGUCUGAAACCAAAGAGGGGUUUCACAUCAAACGCUUGGAGGGCAUCUUUUCUCUUUACGUAGAUAGACGAGCAUAUAAGUCUACGUGUAUGUAAGUAAUUCAAAAUGCGGAUCGCUCAAUUCGUAGGCGGUACGGAACUCGCUUAGGUAGACG
rnacentral:lncRNA from 1 species